UCAAAAUAUUAAUAAGUUACUUAUAGACUGAGUAUAUUUUUUUAAAGUGCAGAUGAGUAAUACAAUAAAUGCUGUUGGCUUCUGAAAAAAUUAACACAUAGUGAAAUAACAGAAAACCCUUAUGUAUGGAUAAUUUUAACAGCACUAUUUGAAGGAAUAUCACAGUUCCCCUAGUUUGCUGAUCUUCUGACCCUGCCUCUGAUGUGAAACUAGUGUCUGUUCUGUACUCUGCAUAUAUACAAUGUUUGCUCUUAAACUUCUGUUGCUUGUGACUGUUGACCUGGAAAAGGAAUAUAUCUGCCAAGAAGGAUUUCCCAUGGUAACUGGGCCCCAAUUCCUAACCAGAGUCUAACAGCUAUUGCUGACAGAGACCUCUCAAGCACACUGCCUGUCCAGGAAAACCCACUGACUGAACAGCCAAGCCUUCUGCACUGUGUUCCUGCAGUCUCAGCCCACCUUAGAAAGGAGUUCCUGGAAUUCUAUUUCAACCAAUGGGCUGAGACCUGCCCUGUCCAAUUGGAGCUGAGCAGCUGCACCUUCAUUUGCAUCUUUAUAGACCAAGUAGAGUAGCUCCAUAACAGUCAAUCAGGAUACACAAUUUCAGCCACUCAGAAUAGUGCUAUUCAGACAAAUAAACAAGGCAAAUUUGGAUUCUUCAUUUGCAUAAAAAUGGACCAAUCAGGGACCAUUUUAAUGCAAAUGGUCCAUGCAGGGCAGGUACCUUAUAUAAGUGGGCCUCCCCUAUAUCCGAGGAGCACACAUUCAGUUCCCACCUGAGACUGCAUUUCUCUGGUUUGCAAACUGUCCACCUGAAUAAAGUUUUUCCAUUUACUCCGCUUCAGACUGAGGACUCCUGUUGGCAUUGGCUUGGUGGCAGCAAUCUUUUUAUUGACAUGACUAUUACUUUAUUCAAGGGUUUUUUUUAUGUAUGCCUUUCAUGAUGAUCAUGUAGGUAAAAACCAAUCAACAAAUGCAUAUUGACUGCUUGGGAUGUGCGAGACAUUCUGUUACAGCCUGUAAAGGCAGUCCUGGCAAGUGUGAAAGUUGGGAUAUGGAAAUAAAACACUCCUGCAAACCAAUCAAGAAAGUCAGGCACUCAAGAAGCUAGGUUACUUGAUGAGAGUUCCAGAAGAAGGUUCUAGAUAUAUGCUCCACCCUAUAAAAUUAGAAUUCAUAUUUUAGCAAGCUACAUACUUGCAACUACAGUACCACACGAAUAUUUACAUAAUUGGAAAUCAUGAGGUAAUUCUUCAUCUUUUCCUUAGUAUUUUUCUCUCUCACUGUUGGUAGAUUUGAGAGUGAUAUAAUCUGAAUAUUGACAAAUCUUAUUCACUCUAUCGAAUAGGAUGCACAAAAGAAGAAAUUCAGUUGGUAAGCAAACUUGGAAGAAUGUUCAUUCCCUUGAAUAAUCAAAAACAUACAAGUUAUAACAGUAAGAUAAAAUUUCCAUUUAUUAGUAAAGUUUUAAAAAUUGAAAUGCUAGUUAGGAGUUGAGAAAGUGGUACUUCAGACAUUACCACCAUCAAAUAGGCAAGAAAAAUAAAAUGUUAACCUUUAAAUAAAUUAUUCCAUUUCUUGGAAUCCAUCUAAGAAAAUUAGCAGAAAAUGUGAAUAAGAAAAAAAUAGUAAGAUGAUAAUAGAGGUUUUGUUGAAAUGGUGAAAUUAUGGGUAAUUUUUGUCUUCUAAAUUUUUGGAAUUUGCGAUCUUUUUACUUUUAAAAUUCAAAAACUCUAAAUUAAAAAGAAAAACAUUAAGAUUGCUUUUGUGAAAGAUCACCUUGUGAGCCUUAUUAGUAAAUAAUGUGCUCAG